UACGGGGGGGGCAAGCGUUGUUCGGAAUUACUGGGCGUAAAGGGCUCGUAGGCGGCCAACUAAGUCGGACGUGAAAUCCCCGGGCUCAACCUGGGAAUUGCAUCUGUGACUGCAUCGCUAGAGUACGGUAGAGGGGGAUGGAAUUCCGCGUGUAGCAGUGAAAUGCGUAGAUAUGCGGAGGAACACCGAUGGCGAAGGCAGCCCCCUGGGUCAAGAUUGACGCUCAUGCACGAAAGCGUGGGGAGCAAACAGG
rnacentral:rRNA from 1 species